rnacentral:misc_RNA from 1 species
GAUUUAUAUUCCUUGUAAAUCAAUCAACUUAACUAGUACAAAACGAAGUGGCAAUAAGGAUCUAUCCUUAUCACUACCAAAAAGAGUGACUAAGAGAAUGUGAGUCUCUUGGCUUUGAGUUCGAGAGUUUUGGCAUCUAAAUAUACUUCCCUUUGCUUGAUAUCUGCCUUGUUUCCGAGUAUAGGGAAGUUAAAAUUACAAGUGAUCAGAGUUUCAAAGGAGUUAGAUUGAGGAAAGAUUGAAAAUGGUGGCUGGAAAUAUUGGGGCAAGGCAAGAGAAAUGUUUGUUGGACCUGGCAGAAAAGAAUCUGCCCUUUUACAGUUAACUGUUAUGGCCUGUAUUUUACAGAUAACUGGCAUUACUGUUACAUAAGCUGUUGCUGGUGUAGAAAAUUUUGACUGUUGCAUCUAGGAUGUAAUGGUGAAGGAACUUUCAAAAUCCAUGACAAAAGAGCCCUUAUGUAAAAUUAUGGUUCUCAUU